AUGAACGCUGGCGGCGUGCCUCAUCCCUGCAAGUCGAGCGCACGGACGAGAAGCUUGCUUCUCUGAUGUUAGCGGCGGACGGGUGAGUAACACGUGGAUAACCUACCUAUAAGACUGGGAUAACUUCGGGAAACCGGAGCUAAUACCGGAUAAUAUUUUGAACCGCAUGGUUCAAAAGUGAAAGACGGUCUUGCUGUCACUUAUAGAUGGAUCCGCGCUGCAUUAGCUAGUUGGUAAGGUAACGGCUUACCAAGGCAACGAUGCAUAGCCGACCUGAGAGGGUGAUCGGCCACACUGGAACUGAGACACGGUCCAGACUCCUACGGGAGGCAGCAGUAGGGAAUCUUCCGCAAUGGGCGAAAGCCUGACGGAGCAACGCCGCGUGAGUGAUGAAGGUCUUCGGAUCGUAAAACUCUGUUAUUAGGGAAGAACAUAUGUGUAAGUAACUGUGCACAUCUUGACGGUACCUAAUCAGAAAGCCACGGCUAACUACGUG
rnacentral:rRNA from 1 species